rnacentral:lncRNA from 1 species
UGGUUGAUUGUAUUAUUGAUAAUGGUUUUGAUUAAUAAUACAAGUUGGGACGUGGGUUUUCCACGUCAAAUAUAUUGUUGUGUGUGUGCUUUGCAUUAGAAGAUUGAAUCUCGUUUUUUAUCCUAACAAGUGGUAUCAAGAGCCGAGGUCAGGAUCGUGAUUGAUGGGGUUGAGGAUGAAUUCGGGAUUCAAUCGAGAAUGCAGAGUAUGGUGAAUUUUGUUAGCAGGAAGAGGCAAAGUUACGUGCGGUAUGACGGUUGACUUGCACCGUGGAUCAAUCAUGAUGGACUCAAUAUGGAAGAAGAUUGGAUGGUUCUUCUAGAGGCCGGAGGAUUGUGAAAGCAAGGAUCGGGUGACUCAUGGAUGGAAGAGCACUCGGGGUUGAUGCACGUGAUUUUGUAGAUGGAUAAAAUUUGGAAGAACGAGACAUGGAGAUUCUUGUUCGAG